rnacentral:rRNA from 1 species
UAGAGUUUGAUCCUGGCUCAGAUUGAACGCUGGCGGCAUGCUUUACACAUGCAAGUCGAACGGCAGCACGGGGGCAACCCUGGUGGCGAGUGGCGAACGGGUGAGUAAUGCAUCGGAACGUGCCCAGUUGUGGGGGAUAACCAGUCGAAAGAUUGGCUAAUACCGCAUACGACCUGAGGGUGAAAGCGGGGGACCGAAAGGCCUCGCGCGAUUGGAGCGGCCGAUGUCUGAUUAGCUAGUUGGUGAGGUAAGAGCUCACCAAGGCGACGAUCAGUAGCUGGUCUGAGAGGACGACCAGCCACACUGGGACUGAGACACGGCCCAGACUCCUACGGGAGGCAGCAGUGGGGAAUUUUGGACAAUGGGCGCAAGCCUGAUCCAGCCAUGCCGCGUGCGGGAAGAAGGCCUUCGGGUUGUAAACCGCUUUUGUCAGGAACGAAACGGCGCUUGUUAAUACCGAGCGCUAAUGACGGUACCUGAAGAAUAAGCACCGGCUAACUACGUGCCAGCAGCCGCGGUAAUA